UAGCAUGGGGUUGUCAGGAAUAGUUUGU
rnacentral:piRNA from 1 species